GUGUGGGUAAAAUGUUUUUUUUUUAAAUCAGGGAUAGAUUAGACCACUACUCAGACCAAUAAAAAAGUAUUUAUAGUGCCAGUUGUUUGGCACCAUGUUACGCCAUUUACUUCCUACCCCAUUAAUCAAUAGGCAGGCAUAGCCUAACUAAAUGUGCACCAACUCUUUACUUCCCAUGUCCCACUGCGCCACCGUGUGACCACACAUCCUCCCUGCAGCGCCCGCUGUGUACAAGUAGCUUGCGACGUAACGCAGGCGUCUCACUGUCAAUGAAAGAGGCUCACUCACAGCAUACCAGACUUGAGUACAGUGGCUAACCCAGCAUACACAGACACACAAUUUAACUACGAGGAGACCGAACGGAUAUACAUUUGCAAUUUAAAGGGUUAGAUUUGAGAGGCUGCAACUCAGGAUGGCUACCGAGACAGCCUCAGUUUUUCUGUCCCCCAUCAAAACGUGCUUUCUUCUACUUUUGGGUGGUUUGAUGUCCAAAGCUGCGCAGGAGCAGCAGGGAAGUUUGUACAUGUGGAUUGAUGCCAACCAAGCCAGAAUCCUAAUUGGUUUUGAGGAGGAUAUCUUGAUCGUGUCGGAGGGGAAGAUGGCUCCAUUCACAACUGACUUCAGAAAGGCCCAGCAGAGGAUGCCUGCGAUACCUGUCAAUAUCCAGAACGUCAACUUCACUUGGCAAGCUACUGAACAGGCAGAGUACUUCUAUGAGUUCCAGACACUGCGCUCCAUGGAUGUGGAUAUCAUGGACAACCCCACGGUCAACGUUCCUCUCAUGGGCUCUGUACCACGUAGACCCUCAGUGGUGCAGGUGGGCUUCCCGUGUUUAGGAGACCAGGAUGGCGUAGCGGCAUUCGAGGUCACCAUACUGGUCAUGGACGCCGGUGGUCACAUCGUCCUGAGGACACCUCACAACGCCAUCUUCUUCAAGACCUGCCAGAGAGCUAAAUGUCCAGGUGGUUGUCGUAACGGUGGGUUCUGCAACGAGAGACAGGUGUGUGAGUGCCAGGAUGGUUUCUACGGGCCGCACUGUGAGAAAGCCCUCUGCUCUCCCAGGUGUCUGAAUGGUGGACUGUGUAUGAGUCCAGGGGUGUGCAUCUGCCCACCUGGUUACUAUGGAGACAGCUGUGACAAAGCUAACUGCAGCAUCACAUGUUUAAACGGAGGGACGUGCUUCCACCCAGGGAAGUGUAUCUGUCCUGCAGCCUAUGAGGGACCACGCUGUGGGAUCAGUAAAUGUCUCCAGCCCUGCAGAAACGGAGGGAAAUGCACUGGGAAAAACAAAUGCAAAUGUGACAAGGGUUUCCACGGUGACCUGUGUUCCAAGGCUGUCUGUGAGCCCAGCUGUGGAGCCCACGGGACCUGUGUGGAACCUAACAAGUGCCUGUGUAAGGAGGGCUGGCACGGACGCCACUGUAAUAAGAGAUACAGAGGAGGUGCCCCUAACAGCCAUCGUCUCUCAUCAGGCCCUAAACACAAGCCUCAGCAGCACUCCUCCUCUGCCAAGGAGGUGAAAGACGUCCCCGAUGCCGACAUCCCAGCAGAGACCAAUUACGUGGUAUAAGACCUGGGUCCAGACAACCACACCUGGGUUCAAGCACUAUUCAACAUCUUUCAGAUACUUUCAGCAUCUGCUCUAGUCUGGUUGGCAGCGCCUGAUGGGUGCGGCCUGGUGGGCGGGGUUUGAUGGGCGGGGUUUGAUGGGCGGGGUUUGAUGGGUGGGGUUUGAUGGGUUGGGUUUGAUGGGUUGGGUUUGAUGGGUGGGGUUUGAUGGGCGGGGUUUGAUGGGCUGUGUUUGAUGGGAGGAUUUUGCGGUUUUAGGACAGUGCUACUGGUCUGUUAAGCAAGGCAAACUCAAUCAACAACAUAUAAAGCAUGUGUAAUUAUUUGAAGUAGUAUUUGAACCCAGGUGUGCAGAAAACCCCACCAGUCCCCCAGCACCUCCUCCUGUCCUCUGUGGUAGACUACUUAUACCCAUACGUGAUGUUAUACACCAUUUAUUACCACACCUACCUAGCCUCAUCCCCUCCCACUGGCUACCUACCUACCCUCAUCCCUCCCACUGGCUACCUACCUACCCUCAUCCCCUCCCACUGGCUAGCUACCUACCCUCAUCCCCUCCCACUGGCUACCUACCUACCCUCAUCCCCUCCCACUGGCUAGCUACCUACCCUCAUCCCCUCCCACUGGCUACCUACCUACCCUCAUCCCAUCCCACUGGCUAGCUACCUACCCUCAUCCCCUCCCACUGCCUAGCUACCUACCCUCAUCCCCUCCCACUGGCUACCUACCUACCCUCAUCCCCUCCCACUGGCUAGCUACCUACCCUCAUCCCCUCCCACUGGCUAGCUACCUACCCUCAUCCCCUCCCACUGGCUAGCUACCUACCCUCAUCCUCUCCCACUGGCUAGCUAUCUACCCUCAUCCCCUCCCACUGGCUACCUACCUAGCCUCAUCCCCUCCCACUGGCUACCUACCUAGCCUCAUCCCCUCCCACUGGCUACCUACCUAGCCUCAUCCCCUCCCACUGGCUAGCUACCUAGCCUCAUCCCCUCCCACUGGCUACCUACCUACCCUCAUCCCCUCCCACUGGCUAGCUACCUACCCUCAUCCCCUCCCACUGGCUAGCUACCUACCCUCAUCCCCUCCCACUGCCUAGCUACCUACCCUCAUCCCCUCCCACUGGCUAGCUACCUACCCUCAUCCCCUCCCACUGGCUAGCUACCUACCCUCAUCCCCUCCCACUGGCUAGCUACCUACCCUCAUCCUCUCCCUCUGGCUAGCUAUCUACCCUCAUCCCCUCCCACUGCCUACCUACCUACCCUCAUCCCCUCCCACUGCCCAGCUACCUACCCUCAUCCCCUCCCACUGGCUACCUACCUACCCUCAUCCCCUCCCACUACCUAGCUACCUACCCUCAUCCCCUCCCACUGCCCAGCAACCUACCCUCAUCCCCUCCCACUGGCUACCUACCUACCCUCAUCCCCUCCCACUGGCUACCUACCUACCCUCAUCCCCUCCCACUGCCUAGCUACCUACCCUCAUCCCCUCCCACUGCCUACCUACCUACCCUCAUCCCCUCCCACUGCCUAGCUACCUACCCUCAUCCCCUCCCACUGCCUAGCUACCUACCCUCAUCCCCUCCCACUGCCUAGCUACCUACCCUCAUCCCUCCCACUGCCUAGCUACCUACCCUCAUCCCCUCCCACUGCCUAGCAACCUACCCUCAUCCCCUCCCACUGCCUACCUACCUACCCUCAUCCCCUCCCACUGCCUAGCUACCUACCCUCAUCCCCUCCCACUACCUAGCUACCUACCCUCAUCCCCUCCCACUACCUAGCUACCUACCCUCAUCCCCUCCCACUGCCUACCUACCUACCCUCAUCCCCUCCCACUGCCUAGCUACCUACCCUCAUCCCCUCCCACUGCCUAGCUACCUACUCUCAUCCCCUCCCACUGCCUACCUACCUACCCUCAUCCCCUCCCACUGCCUAUCUACCUACCCUCAUCCCCUCCCACUGCCUACCUAUCUACCCUCUUCCCCUCCCACUGCCUAGCUACCUACCCUCAUCCCCUCCCACUGCCUACCAACCUACCCUCAUCCCCUCCCACUGCCUACCACCUACCCUCAUCCCCUCCCACUGCCUAGCUACCUACCCUCAUCCCCUCCCACUGCCUACCUACCUACCCUCAUCCCCUCCCACUGCCUACCUACCCUCAUCCCCUCCCACUGCCUAGCUACCUUAGAUACCUACCCUCAUCCCCUCCCACUACCUAGCUACCUUAGAUACCUACCCUCAUCCCCUCCCACUACCUAGCUACCUACCCUCAUCCCCUCCCACUACCUAGCUACCUACCCUCAUCCCCUCCCACUACCUAGCUACCUACCCUCAUCCCCUCCCACUACCCAGCUACCUACCCUCAUCCCCUCCCACUGCCUAGCUACCUUAGAUAUCUACCCUCAGCCCCUCCCACUACCUAGCUACCUACCCUCAUCCCCUCCCACUACCUAGCUACCUACCCUCAUCCCCUCCCACUGCCUAGCUACCUACCCUCAGCCCCUCCCACUACCUAGCUACCUACCCUCAUCCCCUCCCACUACCUAGCUACCUACCCUCAUCCCUCCCACCUCCUAGCUACCUACCCUCAUCCCCUCCCACUGCCUACCUAUCUACCCUCAUCCCCUCCCACUGCCUACCUACCAACCAUCAAACCCCUCCCACUACCUAGCUACCUUAGAUACCUACCCUCAGCCCCUCCCACUACCUACCUACCUACCUAUCAUCAAACCCCUCCCACUACCUACCUACCCUAGACCAAUCUACAUGGUCAGCUGCUCCUACAGACACACACACACACACACACACACACCACUCAUCUCAUCUCAUCUCAUUUUCUUACAGUCUUAGAAAAAAUAGUUCCAAAAGGGUUAUUCGGCUAUGUGAACCCUUUUUGGUUCCAGAUAAAACUCUUUUUGGUUACAUGUAGUACCAUUUUAGGUUCCAUGUAGAACCCUCUGUCGAUAGGAGUGGAACCAAAAGGCAUCUACCUGGAACCAACAAGGGUUCUUCAAAGGGUUCUCCUAUGGGGACAGCCGAAGAACCUUGUUAGGUUCUAGAUAAGAGUGUAGGAAUCCAUUGGUGGUUUUUGUUUUGGUGUGUUUCUGUUGCUGUUCUCCUGUGUAUUCUUUCACUUGGUCAUCCUUCCACGCACCUAGCCUUCGUUCAGAUAUCUCUGAAGUCUUUAGUCUGUGGAGGAAUUCUGGUGGCUGCUGUCAGUACAGUCAUAAUGCUUCACAAUCGCUCUAAAUCACCUGAGUAACCGUAACCCUGACAACCGGAGACAGAGAGGAGAGUGUGACUCAUCUGUUUGUUAGUGUUCUAUGAUGCUGGAUGGUGGUGUCUGUGUGUUUGCCCUGAGCUGUCUGUCUUUCUAUGGCUUCCUAAGAAGGAAGUGGAGAAGUGAUUGACUGGGUAUUGUAUCGGUAGAGGACACCACCACUAAAGAUACUAGAAGACCUCUCUUAUUUCUUAUGUAGUUGACUGAUGGCCAGGCAGGAUCAUCAUCAUAUCAAAUCAAAGUUCAUUUGUUACGUGCGCUGAGUACAACAGGUGUAGACCUUACAGUGAAAUGCUUACUUACAGGCUCUAACCAAUAGUGCAAAAAAAGGUAUUAGCUGAACAAUAGGUAGGUAAAGAAAUAAAACAACAGUAAAGAGGACAGUGAAUAUAGUUGGUCAUAUGUGAAGAGAUCAUUUUUUUGAGGGGGGGUUCAAAGGCCUCAAGACAGAUCAUAGGCCAAGAGGAUCCAACUUAUAGCUGCAAUAUGCCAUUUUUUGGGGGGGGCGACCCAACCAAAUUCACAUAGAAAUGCGAGUUAUAGAUCUGUCAUUGGCAUCGAAAGCAAGUCUAAAAAGCCGUAAAUCUGUUCUAUGUGCGCUAUUUUCUAUGCUUCUCCUUCUUAAGUUUAGUUUUUUUGCGUCUUUUACUAUGGGGUUUUGUACAUCAACUGAAAAUACAAUAUUUUUGGUUAUGCAAAAUAUAUUCCACAGCGGUUUAGUUGUCACAUAAACUGAAGUUAAAUAAACUAUUAGAAUUUUAGUAACCAGGAAAUGGCGGAGCAAUUUCAGCAUCGUGCACCUUUCAAAUCAUCCUCACUUCUAAUGUAUCACCAUACCAGCCCAGCAACACUAUCUCACCAUACCAGCCCAGCAACACUCUUCCUGAAAGAAAGAAAGCCAAAGAAAGCAAUAAGAAAUACAAACCUCAACUAUAAAUGUAUUAAUAUAUAGAAGAAUCUCUACUGUCUUCAGUUGAAACUGUAAUCUCUAUCCCCUGAUGGUGUAAAUCCUAUUCAAAUCCUUUAAAGUUUCCAUUCCCAGAUAAAUAUUAUGUAUUCUAAAAGCCUAAUCCGUUUACUUUUACAUGCGGAUUAAAUAGACUUUUUGUUGUGAACCACUUUUUUUGGUUGAGUAUUUAUCUAGUGGUUUUAUUUUAGAUGACAUAAUAAAGUAGUAUUAAAACAACAAGUACAUUUGUCUCUUUUUAAAAAACGUUACUAUUUAGUGUUUUAAUAUUUCGUUUAUAACAUGAUGACACUACAUGAACUGUCUAAUAUAUCGUAAAAAACUUUAAAGUAAUCCAUUUGCUGUUCUUUAUUUCUUCAUGUAUGUAAUGUAAUGUAUUAUUAAAAUAAACAGUUUGUAAAUGCUA